GACGAACGCUGGCGGCGUGGAUUAGGCAUGCAAGUCGAACGGUAUCAUCCUUUCGGGGGUGAGAGAGUGGCGAACUGGUGAGUAACACGUAGGUUAUCUACCCUCAAGACGGGGACAACCCAGGGAAACUUGGGCUAAUACCGGAUGUGAGCAACUUUUAGUUGUUUGAAAGGUGGCGUAAGCUGUCGCUUGGGGAUGAGCCUGCGUCCUAUUAGUUAGUUGGUGAGGUAACGGCUCACCUAGGCAAUGAUAGGUAGGCGGCCUCAACGGGUGGUCGCCCACACUGGGAUUGAGAUACGGCCCAGACUCCUACGGGAGGCAGCAGUCGAGAAUAGUCUACAAUGGUCGGAAGACUGAUAGUGCGACGCCGCGUGAACGAUGAAUCCCUUCGGGGUGUAAAGUUCUUUUAUAUGUGAGCAGUGCUUCUUAUAUUAACAGUAUGGGGAGAGAGAUAUUAGCAUAUGAAUAAGCAACGGCUAACUCCGUGCCAGCAGCCGCGGUAAA
rnacentral:rRNA from 1 species